rnacentral:rRNA from 1 species
CGCGUAGGCGGACUAGCAAGUCAGAUGUGAAAACUAUGGGCUUAACCCAUAGCCUGCAUUUGAAACUGUUGGUCUUGAGUACAGGAGAGGAAAGCGGAAUUCCAGGUGUAGCGGUGAAAUGCGUAGAUAUCUGGAAGAACACCAGUAGCGAAGGCGGCUUUCUGGACUGAUACUGACGCUAAAGCGCGAAGGCUUGGGUAGCAAACA